UUUAAUUUUAAAGACAGAGCAUGAAUUGCUGACAGAAAACAGGCAACAAUACCUGUAAAAUGGUGUGUAAUGUAAUAGACCAUAUUUGUUCAUGAAGUUGCGUUUUUACUUUAGUUUUAAAACUUAUCAUGUAACCAACUCGCUAUUUGUAUGCAUACUAGUAUUACUAUAUAACACAUCUAAAAUACAACAGGAAAGAAAUAUCACGUUUGUAGGACUUUUAUUUUGGCGACAUGUUAAAAACAGGAAGUAAGUUGGUAGAAAAGAACUCUGACGUUUCAUGGGACGAUUUCCCCUGUAGUAUUUCCAUAGUAACGUUAUUGCUGUUUUUGUUUGUCAUGGUCCAAGUAGCAAAAUAAAAUCAAUGCAUAUGAAAUAUAUACUUCUUACAAAUGACAAUCUUAGCGAAUCUCAAAUGCCAUAGUGGCAGUUUAAGAUGACAGCAGCACAUUAGUAGAUAAAGAUUCACCUAAAAGAAGUGUCCUGGAUCCGAGGGAUCUGGUCAGAUGGAUCACACUGAGGGAUCAGUCUAAAUCGUUUAUGUUUUUCAGAAGUCACGGGCCAAACCGGAGGAGGAUGAGUAUGACAGGAGUGUGACAGUGGAGAAUAACAUUGUAUUCGAACAUAAGGGACGUUUUUUUUUUUUUUCUUUAAAUCACGUCAGGUUUUUUUUUUUUUCUAUGUUUUUAAGUGGGAGCUUCAAAGAAAAUAGUAAAUAAAAGGAAGUAUAUUAAACUGUCUAAAUUAAAGGAGACGUUGGCAAAGAAAAACUCUCACAGAGGUCUGAUUUUAAACCUUCUUUAUGUACACUAUAUAGUAAGAAAGGAAAGAUUAGAGACCUAUUCUUACAGUCGAUAUUCUUUGUAUAAUAUUUAUUAUAUAUAUCUCACAUUGUCUGGCCAUUUUCUCUAGAACCACUCUGUGGCGCUCAGUUUAAUUUCCCAGCUGAAAGAGUCGAAGCGGGCUGUGAACAGCAUCCUGGUGAAUGAUAAUGAAGAUGAUGAUGAGAGAGUCAGCUGGAGUGGGGAACCUGCUGGAAGCAUCUCUUGGUCGGUGAAGGAAACCGCCUCCAGUAUCCGCUCAGGCAGCGAGCUGAGCUUUCCCAAAAUAGACACCUCUCUGUCAUUGUCUAAACAGGGUCUGGAUACUCCCUGAGCUCCCUGUUUAAAGGUAAUCUACAGUGAAGAGUUUGUGUAUGUUUUAGUUCAGUCAUAUUAGACUCACCAAUCUGACUCUGUUUAUAUUCCUUCAGCAAAGAGUUUCCAGUCCUUCUCCGAGUGUUAGUCCAAGUCAUUUAGAAUGAUUUAUGCUUCUCACGUGUUUGAUUGAAGUGUGUUUUGUUCACCGUUUUCUAGCUUUUAGUGACACAUCUGUUAGAACAUAUGCACCUGAGUUGAGAAAGCCCAAGUCAGAUGGACAGGUAACACACAUUGGCCACUAUUCAAACAUCUGGGGAUAAGAUUUCUAAUGUUGAAGAAAGACACAGAACACCAGCCUGUUAAACGCUAGAUCUUGUCAGUGACCUGAGAAGAAUGCAGAAAGGACGGGUAGGGGGCAGCAAAGAGCUUUAUAUAGAGAGUACUGAUACUGUAAAUACAAGAUGUACAACACUAGAAGGUCAGUGUAAAGGUGAAGUCAGGAGAUCUAAUAUCUUUGAAUAAAGCCAUUUAGUUAAUUCUCAGUUUCAGUAGGUGCAGGCCCCUUUCUUUUUCAUUUUAUAUUUUUAAAAUAUAUCUGCUGUCAUAUAGCAAAAUAUCAGUCACAUAAUUUUAUUUUGCUUACAAAAAGGAUUCCGUCAUAAUAUAUGGCUACAUUUGAAUGGCUGUAAAUGGUAAAAUAUGCUUUUCUCAUCUAAUUAAAAUGAUUCUUUCACAGGUUUUGUUCUCUAGAAAACUUCUGCUGCUAGAUGAAGCCGUGGCAGUUUAUGAUGGCACCCUCAUAACUGCUAAAUUCUCUUUCGAGAGUUAAUGGCGAGAGAUGUGGCUUUGCAUCAUUGCGUGCAUUAUUUAAAAGAAAUGGGACAACAAAAGCUUUUGGUUGAGUUGCUGAAGGCUCUUGGCAGGACAGAAGAUAUGGCGUUGAUGCAAUACAAAGAACACUUGAAUAUUAAAGAUGAAGGCCGAAGAAGAGACUUCCUCAAAAGUUCCCUCAGAUCUUUCAGAGGAAUUCAGUAGAGAGUUCAGAAUCAUCUGCUGCUGACCUUUAAUGACCUCUCUGUUUGUUCUCAGCCUUCCUUUCUCACAAGAUGAUGCCUCUCAUGUUCAAGAUCACUGACUAUACACUCCUCGAGAGACAAAUAAUCAUGGAGAGUGGUGGACAUUCUGCAGAAGAACAGCGCACCUGUAAACAUACACCAGUUUCCAUGAUGUAAUAAACCUGCUCAUUCUCCUCACACGUGCUUGUCCCAUGAUCUGCAGGUGCUGCAGGAGUACGUGAACCUCAUCGAUGACCCAGAGCUCAAGCUCAGCGUGGCUCUGAAAUAGAAAUGUCAUGACAUCGUCAUCAAUACAUACAGAGACCUGAAGGACCGGCAGCAGCUUGUUGUGUACAGAGAGAAGCUGGAACCAGACUCGUCUGAAUACAGGAAGGUCCAGGAACUCCUCAAUUACACGCAAUCAGAUGGAAAAACUGACAGUUGGAAAGAGUGACACGAGGCAGUGGUGGGCAGAUGUGUGUCAGAGCUCUUUCAUUGACAGUCUUACACAAAAAACACUAGAAAGCUGCUUAAUAUGGAGUUAAUCCUGAACAAACAGGAAUGAGAUCCUCACAGCCAUUGAACAAUUCAAAGAACCAGUGGAGCGAGUCAUUCAGAGUGAUUCUUUCACAAAUGCAUCUGUUCUGUAUGAUCAAACUGCCAACUCUACAGCUGAACAUUUCUAAAGGAAGGCUUUUACUGGUGGCUGACGUGAAGAGCGUACUAUUUCACCACUCACAUCUUUAUGUUAGCACGUGUAUGAAAUUUUUAAAAUUUCUGACACUCUUUUUAUUUUAGUUUAAAAAUAAUAUGAUACUGAACUGUUUAUAACAGUAAUACUGUUUAUAUUAGCAUACCGGUUUUCUGGUAAAUAUCUGACUGUAGAUAUGAAGAAGAUAAAAGCUGUGAAAGUUGUUUCAACAGUACAGAAUUUGACACAAUUACAGGGUAAACUCACAGUUUCUGUAAGUGGAGGCAGAUUAAUAACCACAAACGAGUGCACAGCCGCAGAAUGAGCCAGGAAGUUCCCACACUGUGUCGUUUUGAACCAUGAUGUAAACUGUGCAUCACAUAACCUUUUUCAUUGGAUUUCCACAAGUUUUGGUUCUUCUAGAAUCGUUGUGUGUACUCUAUACAUCUUAAAUUCAGAGCUAUUUGUGAAGCCAUUAAUGGUUUCCAGAAAAAAUCUAUAAACUCGUAUUAAUGAAAAACAGUAGAAAACACGUUUAGAAACUGAAGUCAAAGUGUCAUAUUUAUGAACCAAUAUAGUAGAUUUGACAUCCCAUUAUACAUUUUUAAGUUGGCGCUACCAAAUUCACACUUACUUUCAGUUCAUUUGCAAGACAUUUAUAAUGUUACAAAAAAUAUGUCAGAGAAUCUUGAAAAAAAAAAAAGGUUUUCACAGAAAUAUUAAGCAGCACAACUGUUUUUUUACAUUACUAAUGGCAAGAAAUGUUUCCUGAGCAGCAAAUCAGCAUAUAAGACUGAUUUCUGAAGGAUCAUGUGACACAGAAGACUGCAGUAAUGAUGCUGAAAAUACAGCUUUAAAACACAAGAGAAAAAGAAAACGCCAUUUUAAAAUAUAUUCAAAUUAUCACAAUUUCAUUAAAAAUGGUAAUGUUUCACAGUAUUUUUUGAUGAAAUAGUUGAUGAGCAAAUUAAACUUCUUCCAAAAAGAAAUCAAUAAAAAAAUUAAAUCAAUUACAAAGCCCAAACUUUUUCUUGGUAUAGUGUAUAUUUCUUAUAAACACCAAGACUAGGUCCAGAUCCAGCCCAAGACUUGUCCAGGUACAAACCUGUCUCAAAAAUAGACAAUUUUGCACAAUUUAUUGCAACAAAAUGCAUUUUAUUUGAUUUGUACUUCUUUUUUUUCAUCAAAAUGCAUUUUAAUUUCAUUAUGUUUAUAUAUUGUCUUUUUAAAUUAUUAGCUAAAUCCAAAAAUAUCAUUUGAUAAUAAUAGUAAAAAAAAUAUGUAUUUAAAGAUUCUAAACCUUUGUAUCAGGUUAUGAAAUUACAACUCUUACAAAUUUCAUAUAGACUAAGGUGCCCAGAAAAGGUGGAGAUGUCUUUCUACAACAAUGUGGGAUCAUGAAAAAAAAAUAAUUAAUAAUAAUUAAUAAUGAUCACUUUUCGUUUACUAGAAAUCCGUACACACAGACAUUUCAUGGCAAUGUUCAUAGUAUGCUGUUCGGUUUAAUCUUUAUUGCCUUGUCCAAACACCCACACCUACUUUUUUUUUUUUGCCACUUGAGGCCGCGUGCCCCCGACAGGAAGAAUGUGCACAAGACUGUCCAAAUCUUACAACCGCCAAUGCGCAGUGCCCUAGAUUUUAUUGAAGUAUGUUUUUGGCCAGAUAAAAAAUGUGCUAAGUAUCUGUACUUUCACUUGAGAAAAAUUGUGAGUACUUCUACACCUCUGCUUGAACCAGAUACAGGAAAUAGCUUAUGUCAUAGAAGUGGUCAGGUGCGUGUGGGUAUUUGGGCAAGGCUCGUUUUCUUCGUGUUUCCUUUUUUAGAACAUCAGGCCUGUGUUUGUUUUGUCUGUUUUCAAUAUGUAUAUGUGUUAAUGCUGAUUUUUUUUUUAGACCAGCUGAAAUAUUCUUCAUAUAAAUUUCGUCUGGUCGUGGCGGAGGUGUUGCAACAAUAUAUAGUGAUAUUCUCAA